rnacentral:rRNA from 1 species
UACGUAGGGGGCAAGCGUUGUCCGGAAUCAUUGGGCGUAAAGAGCGUGUAGGCGGCUCGGUAAGUCCGCUGUGAAAGUCCAGGGCUCAACCCUGGAAUGCCGGUGGAAACUGUCGAGCUAGAGUCCGGAAGAGGCGAGUGGAAUUCCUGGUGUAGCGGUGAAAUGCGCAGAUAUCAGGAGGAACACCGAUGCGAAGGCAGCUCGCUGGGACGUUACUGACGCUGAGACGCGAAAGCGUGGGGAGCAAACAGG